UACGUAGGGUGCAAGCGUUGUCCGGAAUUAUUGGGCGUAAAGAGCUCGUAGGCGGUUUGUCGCGUCUGCUGUGAAAACUCGGGGCUUAACCCCGGGCCUGCAGUGGGUACGGGCAGACUAGAGUGCGGUAGGGGAGACUGGAAUUCCUGGUGUAGCGGUGAAAUGCGCAGAUAUCGUAAGGAAGACCAGUGGCGAAGGCGGGUCUCUGGACAAUUCCUGACGCUGAGGCACGAAGGUCAGGGGAGCAAACGGG
rnacentral:rRNA from 1 species